AGCUUUUUGAACCUGUGCUGAGAUUCCAUCAAACACCAACCCAUUAGGGCUGAUCGGACAUCCAAGAUAAGUGAAGUU
rnacentral:pre_miRNA from 1 species